rnacentral:sRNA from 1 species
UAUUCUGCCCUACGGGGAAGGAUGAGAAGCUUCGACUAAGGUUCGACUCGAGCGCCAGCGAGAGAACGUUGCCGCAGGCAACGGCCCGAAGGGCGAGGAGCGAUAGCGACGAGUUAUCCUUCCCCCACAACCA